UACGAAGGGGGCUAGCGUUGCUCGGAAUCACUGGGCGUAAAGCGCACGUAGGCGGAUUGCUAAGUCAGGGGUGAAAUCCUGGAGCUCAACUCCAGAACUGCCUUUGAUACUGGCGACCUUGAGUCCGGGAGAGGUGAGUGGAACUGCGAGUGUAGAGGUGAAAUUCGUAGAUAUUCGCAAGAACACCAGUGGCAAAGGCGGCUCACUGGCCCGGUACUGACGCUGAGGUGCGAAAGCGUGGGGAGCAAACAGG
rnacentral:rRNA from 1 species